UUACGGCCAUAUCACACUGAACCAUUGGUUCUCGUACGAUCACCAAAGUUAAGCAACGUAGAGCCUGGUCACUGCGAAGAUGGGUGAUCGCUUGGGAAUACCAGGUGCUAUAA